rnacentral:rRNA from 1 species
AGGCAAACUUAGGGCUCGACUGUUUACCAAAAACAUAGCCUUCAGCCAACAACAAGUAUUGAAGGUGAUGCCUGCCCAGUGACCCAUGUUCAACGGCCGCGGUAUCCUAACCGUGCAAAGGUAGCGCAAUCAAUUGUCCCAUAAAUCGAGACUUGUAUGAAUGGCUAAACGAGGUCCUAACUGUCUCUUACGGAUAAUCAGUGAAAUUGAUCUUCUUGUGCAAAAGCAAGAAUAUAAACAUAAGACGAGAAGACCCUGUGGAACUUGAAAAUCAAGGACCAACGUAUCUAAAUUCCAAGCCUAUAAGGCCAACCACCCUUACAACAACUGGUCCCUAUUUUUCGGCUGGGGCGGCCUUGGAGAAAAAAAGAGCCUCCAAAAAUAAGACCAUACACCUUGACUAAGAACAACUCCUCAAAGUACUAAUAGUAACCAGACCCAAUACUAUUGAUUAAUGAACAAAGCUACCCCAGGGAUAACAGCGCAAUCUCCUUCAAGAGCCCAUAUCGACAAGGAGGUUUACGACCUCGAUGUUGGAUCAGGACAUCCUAAUGGUGCAGCCGCUAUUAAGGGUUCGUUUGUUCAACGAUUAACAGUCCUACGUGAUCUGAGUUCAGACCGGAGCAAUCCAGGUCGGUUUCUAUCUAUGCAACACUCUUCCCAGUACGAAAGGACCGGAAAAGUAAGGCCCAUACCAAACAGCACGCCUUCUUUCUAAUUAGUGAAACCAACUUAACUAACAAGAACCUCUUCCCAUCACCCCUAGAAAAGGGCUA